AAGGAAUAUUGCUCAAUGGGAGAAAUCCUGAAGCAGCAACGCCGCGUGGAGGAUGAAGGGUCUAUGACUUGUAAACUCCUGUAAAGAAGGAAAAAAUUCCCAUUAGAUGGGAGAUGAUGGUACUUCUGGAGUAAGCCCCGGCUAACUACGUGCCAGCAGCCGCGGUAAUACGUAGGGGGCAAGCGUUGUCCGGAUUUACUGGGUGUAAAGGGUGCUCAGGCGGAUUUGUAAGUCAGAGGUGAAAUCUUACAGCUUAACUGUGAAACUGCCUUUGAUACUGCAAGCCUAGAGUAUGGAAGAGCGUGAUUGAAUAUCUGGUGUAGCAGUGAAAUGCGUAGAUAUCAGAUAGAACACCAAUGGCGAAGGCAGUCACUUGGUCCAUUACUGACGCUAAAGCACGAAAGCGUGGGUAGCAAACA
rnacentral:rRNA from 1 species